AUUGAACGCUGGCGGCAGGCUUAACACAUGCAAGUCGAGCGAGCGGCGGACGGGUGAGUAAUGUCUGGGAAACUGCCUGAUGGAGGGGGAUAACUACUGGAAACGGUAGCUAAUACCGCAUACCAUCAGAUGUGCCCAGAUGGGAUUAGCUAGUAGGUGGGGUAAUGGCUCACCUAGGCGACGAUCCCUAGCUGGUCUGGGAGGCUGACCACCCACACGGGAACUGGGCCAGGGUCCAAACUCCUACGGGGGGCAGCAGUGGGGAAUAUUGCACAAUGGGCGCAGGCCUGAUGCAGCCAUGCCGCGUGUGUGAAGAAGGCCUUCGGGUUGUAAAGCACUUUCAGCGAGUAGGCGUUACUCGCAGAAGAAGCACCGGCUAACUCCGUGCCAGCAGCCGCGGAAUUC
rnacentral:rRNA from 1 species